AUUGAACGCUGGCGGCAGGCCUAACACAUGCAAGUCGAGCGGAUGAAGGGAGCUUGCUCCUGGAUUCAGCGGAGGACGGGUGAGUAAUGCCUAGGAAUCUGCCUGGUAGUGGGGGAUAACGUCCGGAAACGGGCGCUAAUACCGCAUACGUCCUGAGGGAGAAAGUGGGGGAUCUUCGGACCUCACGCUAUCAGAUGAGCCUAGGUCGGAUUAGCUAGUUGGUGGGGUAAAGGCCUACCAAGGCGACGAUCCGUAACUGGUCUGAGAGGAUGAUCAGUCACACUGGAACUGAGACACGGUCCAGACUCCUACGGGAGGCAACAGUGGGGAAUAUUGCACAAUGGGCGAAAGCCUGAUCCAGCCAUGCGGCGUGUGUGAAGAAGGUCUUCGGAUUGUAAAGCACUUUAAGUUGGGAGGAAGGGCAGUAAGUUAAUACCUUGCUGUUUUGACGUUACCAACAGAAUAAGCACCGGCUAACUUCGUG
rnacentral:rRNA from 1 species